CGAGGCUACCCGCUGAACUUAAGCAUAU
rnacentral:rRNA from 5 species